rnacentral:snRNA from 1 species
UCGUGCCCGGACCCUGUC